rnacentral:rRNA from 1 species
AUUGAACGCUGGCGGCAGGCCUAACACAUGCAAGUCGAGCGGAGCGGCGGACGGGUGAGUAAUGCCUAGGAAUCUGCCUGGUAGUGGGGGAUAACGUCCGGAAACGGGCGCUAUUACCGCAUCCUAUCACAUGAGCCUAGGUCGGAUUAGAUAGUGGGUGGGGUAAAGGCCUACCAAGGCGACGAUACGUACCUGGUCUGAGAGGAUGAUCAGUCACACUGGAACUGAGACACGGUCCAGACUCCUACGGGAGGCAGCAGUGGGGAAUAUUGGACAAUGGGCGAAAGCCUGAUGCAGCCAUGCCGCGUGUGUGAAGAAGGCCUUCGGGUUGUAAAGCACUUUAAGUUGGGAGGCGUUACCAACAGAAGAAGCACCGGCUAACUCCGUGCCAGCAGCCGCGGUAAUAC